rnacentral:rRNA from 1 species
AUUCCAAGCUUGAGUUUGAUCCUGGCUCAGGAUGAACGCUGGCGGCGUGCCUAAUACAUGCAAGUCGAGCGAGGUUCUUCGGAACCUAGCGGCGGACGGGUGAGUAACACGUGGGUAACCUGCCUGUAAGACUGGGAUAACUUCGGGAAACCGAAGCUAAUACCGGAUACUUUCGAGCAUCGCAUGAUGCUUGAUGGAAAGACGGCUUCGGCUGUCACUUACAGAUGGACCCGCGUCGCAUUAGCUAGUUGGUGAGGUAACGGCUCACCAAGGCGACGAUGCGUAGCCGACCUGAGAGGGUGAUCGGCCACACUGGGACUGAGACACGGCCCAGACUCCUACGGGAGGCAGCAGUAGGGAAUCUUCGGCAAUGGGCGAAAGCCUGACCGAGCAACGCCGCGUGAGCGAUGAAGGUCUUCGGGUCGUAAAGCUCUGUUGUUAAGGAAGAACAAGUACGAGAGUAACUGCUCGUACCUUGACGGUACUUAACGAGAAAGCCACGGCUAACUACGUGCCAGCAGCCGCGGUAAUACGUAGGUGGCAAGCGUUAUCCGGAAUUAUUGGGCGUAAAGCGCGCGCAGGCGGUUUCUUAAGUCUGAUGUGAAAGCCCACGGCUCAACCGUGGAGGGUCAUUGGAAACUGGGAAACUUGAGUGCAGAAGAGGAAAGCGGAAUUCCACGUGUAGCGGUGAAAUGCGUAGAGAUGUGGAGGAACACCAGUGGCGAAGGCGGCUUUCUGGUCUGUAACUACGCUAGGCGCAAAGCG